CAGCCGCCGCGGUAAUACGAAGGGGGCUAGCGUUGCUCGGAAUUACUGGGCGUAAAGGGAGCGUAGGCGGACAUUUAAGUCAGGGGUGAAAUCCCAGAGCUCAACUCUGGAACUGCCUUUGAUACUGGGUGUCUUGAGUGUGAUAGAGGUAUGUGGAACUCCGAGUGUAGAGGUGAAAUUCGUAGAUAUUCGGAAGAACACCAGUGGCGAAGGCGGCUCACUGGCUCAUACUGGACGCUGAGGUGCGAAAGCGUGGGGAGCAAACAGGAUUAGAUACCCCUGUAGUCCCUGUCUCUUAUAC
rnacentral:rRNA from 1 species